rnacentral:lncRNA from 1 species
CCCUAGGUGAGUGUUUGUUAUUUGGAUAUAAUUUAAAACACAUUGCUUUCAAAAAUACUUAAUUUGUUUUUACUUUUAUGACGCAUAAAAUUGUGUAUCUUGUUUAAAGUAGGGUUUUAUGGUGCCAAAUAAGUAAACUCCUACUGAUGAAAACUUCAAAAACCAAAAGAACACCUGGUCCUGGUAGGGAUUAAAACAAACAGAAAAGAGUAUUAAAUUCUAGGCAAACAGUAACUUCCUUGUAUCACCCAGAAGAAAGAGGAACUCAGAAAGAAAACAAAAUGCAACAGUGAGAAAGAGGUUCACAAAGGUACUUGCUCCCCACAAAUUCUGCACCUUCCUCCAUGCUUCCUGUUCCCUCUACCAAACCUCCCAAGAAGUGAGGGAAAAGAGAUGAGUUGCUCAAUCCAUUUGCCUACCUGACCGUGGAGUCUAAAUGUCCAUUUCCUCUUGCGCGGCUCCAAGCUGGAGAAGAAUUUGGCGUAGCAGCUUCUGAGAAGUUGAGGGAGGGGCCAGGCGGAAACUGUCCUGGAGCAAGCACUGAAAGGAGCAAUGCACUUGGUAUACUCAGGGCCGAAACACUUCCAGUGGAGGUCACCUGCAGCCAUUGGCAGCCUUAUUUGCAUUUUCUGAAGCCUCCUCUUUUCCCUAUCCUUGGAGUCAAGUCAGACUGCUGAGAAGUCAGAAGUCUCCCUCCGAAGCAACACGUGGCAUUUUUUCAAGCUGACAGUGUUCAUGGAAAAGGGCAAAGAAUGCUUUUAUGUGCAUUCAGAGAAGUCUCUUAAAUAAACAGUGUUUUCUGUGCCUUGGAACCUGCAAACCCAGGGACCCAGUCCUACUCAUGACAGGCUAAUUCCCCGGCGUUACACAGCCUUCUAGCUAAAUAGAGCAUGUCCAAAAUUUGAGCAUGUCAGAGGCUUGUUAAAACACAGAUUGCUGGGUUCCACCCCACGGGUUCCAUAGGUCUGAGACAGGGCCCCCAAAACAUACAUUUCUAACAAGCUCCCAAGUAAUUCUGAUACUGCUGGUACGGGAACCACGCACAAAACUCUAGAGAGAGAUUUGUAGAAUUCUUGCUGCUCUGUUAACACAUGUA